UACGUAGGGUGCAAGCGUUGCCCGGAUUUAUUGGGCGUAAAGGGCGCGUAGGCGGUUCGUACAGUCAGACGUGAAAUUCCUGGGCUCAACCUGGGGGCUGCGUUUGAUACGUGCGGACUUGAGUGCGGAAGAGGGUCGUGGAAUUCCCAGUGUAGAGGUGAAAUUCGUAGAUAUUGGGAAGAACACCGGUGGCGAAGGCGGCGACCUGGUCCGAUACUGACGCUGAGGCGCGAAAGCGUGGGGAGCAAACAGG
rnacentral:rRNA from 1 species